CUACGGAGGGUGCAAGCGUUAAUCGGAAUUACUGGGCGUAAAGCGUACGUAGGCGGUUCGUUAAGUUAGAUGUGAAAGCCGCGGGCUUAACCUGGGAACUGCAUUUAAAACUGGCGAACUAGAGUUGAGUAGAGGGGAGUGGAAUUUCAGGUGUAGCGGUGAAAUGCGUAGAGAUCUGAAGGAACACCAGUGGCGAAGGCGACUCCCUGGACUCGAACUGACGCUGAGGUACGAAAGCGUGGGUAGCAAACGGGAUUAGAAACCCUAGUAGUCC
rnacentral:rRNA from 1 species